GAUGAACGCUGGCGGCGUGCCUAAUACAUGCAAGUCGAGCGAAUGGAUUAAGAGCUUGCUCUUAUGAAGUUAGCGGCGGACGGGUGAGUAACACGUGGGUAACCUGCCCAUAAGACUGGGAUAACUCCGGGAAACCGGGGCCAAUACCGGAUAACAUUUUGAACCGCAUGGUUCGAAAUUGAAAGGCGGCUUCGGCUGUCACUUAUGGAUGGACCCGCGUCGCAUUAGAUAGUUGGUGAGGUAACGGCUCACCAAGGCAACGAUGCGUAGCCGACCUGAGAGGGUGAUCGGCCACACUGGGACUGAGACACGGCCCAGACUCCUACGGGAGGCAGCAGUAGGGAAUCUUCCGCAAUGGACGAAAGUCUGACGGAGCAACGCCGCGUGGGUGAUGAAGGCUUUCGGGUCGUAAAACUCUGUUGUUAGAGAAGAACAAGUGCUAGUUGAAUAAGCUGGCACCUUGACGGUACCUAACCAGAAAGCCACGGCUAACUACGUGCCAGCCGCCGCAGUAA
rnacentral:rRNA from 1 species